CUUCAGUAAAGAAGCAUGCAACACUCACUGUGUCCUGGUUACAUAAAAAAAACUCUUAUUGAAAUAUGUCACAGAUUUAACUCUGGCGUCGAGGAUUAAACUCUUCUUCUGCAUUGUUCCAGGGAUCAGUGGAGCACCAGUUGGCUGACACAGCACAAUUGUGGGGUUAAAAAAGGAGCAACUCAUUCAGACUGCCAGUACCACCUAACCUGAAUUAAAGGAGCACUUGCAAAAAAGACCGCAACAGUGUGGCAUGCCCCCACUCAGCCAGAAGAUGAGGAUAAUGGGAAGAUGGAGCAUCCACACAAGUGUCUCCUCCUUGAAAGCGGUGUCCUGCUGUUUUUAGCAGGCCAAGACACAUGCGCCACAAGAAACCCUGCCAGGAUGUGCACACCAGACCACACGUUUCUCCACCACAAUGGUGCAUUUUGGAUAUCUCUUCAAGGCCACUACUUCAACUAUUGGAGAGUCCUCCAUCAAGGUCACCACAUUCACCACAGCUGCCUGACCCAACAAAUCAGGACGACAAGCGGCAGGACCACCAUCAAGACUCACAAAUGGUGGAAAUGUUUGUGUUAAAUUUAGAGUCAAUCAGUCCACCACAAACACCACCACCACAUGUGAGUAUGCCACCAAGAUAACCUGCACCACAAAUCAUCCACCCGUCACCACAAGUACAGACACAGGAUCAGGUGUUUUUGAGCACUUGGACAUCACAGCAGGCAAAUAACCCAGAUUGUCUGCGUAGACAGACUCAAUUUAUUGGAAGUCUGGCCCAUCAUCUACACAGAUUGAGUUGCAAUAUAAGCAGACAAAAUGUUCAAGUGACUAGAAUUGCUAACACACUAGAAUUAAUGCGAGCAGACAACACACAUAUGAUGGACACAUUCCAGAGAAUAAUAACACACUAGAAUUAAUGCGAGCAGACAACACACAUAUGAUGGACACAUUCCAGAGAAUAAUGGAUGAACAACACAGACAGCACCAAAAUUAACUCCACAUUUUGGAUAACAACCAAAUAUAGCUCCAGAGCAUCAGUUGCAUUAUGUAGAGUCACACUGCAGCAACAAGAGACCUCAAUGCUACACUGAGUAACCUGAGCCAGCACCUCACAAAACAACAAGGUAAACAACAGCUCAGGAAAACCAACUCCAUUAAAUUCCCCAGUCACCUCCCCACCAAGGCGCUACACCCGUACACGGCCAGACAUCACUGGAAAAGGAGCAUCUGCCUCCAAAGGUGCCAAAAAAUAGAAUGGGGACUGGGAGUUUAUUCUGUUUGGUAAAAAAACAACAUAUUCAGUUGAAAUGUAUCAAGGACAGAGUAAAUGCCAUGUUUUAUUGUUAUGUGGUUUGUCAGCAACAUUAUGUUGGUUGAAACCAACAAAAAACACAAAGAACAUAAGUAAAUGCCAUGUUUUCUUGU